UACGUAGGUGGCAAGCGUUGUCCGGAUUUACUGGGCGUAAAGGGCUUGUAGGCGGUUCGUUAAGUCUGGUGUGAAAUCUCCCGGCUCAACCGGGAGGGGUCAUCGGAUACUGGCGGACUAGAGACAGGUAGAGGAAAGCAGAAUUCCCGGUGUAGCGGUGAAAUGCGUAGAGAUCGGGCGGAACACCAGCGGCGAAGGCGGCAUCCUGGCCCUGACCUGACGCUGAGGCGCGAGAGCGUGGGGAGCAAACCGG
rnacentral:rRNA from 1 species